GCGCAGCAGUCGCGAAAACUUCACACUGUGCGAAAGCACGAUGAGGGAAUCCCAAGUGCUUGCACGUAAGUGUAAGCUGUUUCUCUGUCUAAAACGCAGAGAGAGUAAGGGCUGGGUAAGACGGGUGCCAGCCGCCGCGGUAAUACCUGCAGCUCAAGUGGUGACCGUUAUUAUUGGGCCUAAAACGUCCGUAGCCGGUUUAAUAAAUGCCUGGGUAAAUUGUGUAGCUUAACUAUACGAAUUCCGGGUAGACUGUUAAACUUGAGACCGGGAGAAGUUAGAGGUACUCCUGGGGUAGAGGUGAAAAUUCUGUAAUCCUAGGGGGACCACCAGUGGCGAAGGCGUCUAACUAGAACGGGUCUGACGGUGAGGGACGAAGCCCUGGGGCGC
rnacentral:rRNA from 1 species